UUCGUAGGGUGCAAGCGUUAAUCGGAAUUACUGGGCGUAAAGCGUGCGCAGGCGGUGAUGUAAGACAGAUGUGAAAUCCCCGGGCUCAACCUGGGAACUGCAUUUGUGACUGCAUCGCUGGAGUGCGGCAGAGGGGGAUGGAAUUCCGCGUGUAGCAGUGAAAUGCGUAGAUAUGCGGAGGAACACCGAUGGCGAAGGCAAUCCCCUGGGCCUGCACUGACGCUCAUGCACGAAAGCGUGGGGAGCAAACAGG
rnacentral:rRNA from 1 species